rnacentral:rRNA from 1 species
AGCUCCAAUAGCGUAUAUUAAAGUUACCGCAGUUAAAAAGUUCGUAGUUGGGUUUCUAGCGAGGCACGAGAAUAUCCACCUAUGGUGAAUACUUCUCUCGCCUUGCUCUUCUUUAGUUGAUGUCUCUGGCAUUAAGUUGUCGGAGUCCUGAGACUAAUCGUUUACUGUGAUAAAAUUAGAGUGUUCAAAACAGGCUUAUGCCGUUGAAUAUAUUAGCAUGGAAUAUAAAGAUAGGACUUCGGUACUAUUUUGUUGGUUUGCGUACUGAUGUAAUGAUAAAUAGGGACUGGCGUGGGUAUUCGUAGUAAAAUUAUUAGAUUACUGGAAGACGAACGACUGUGAAAGCGUUUAACAAGGAUGUUUUCA